rnacentral:snRNA from 1 species
AGCUUUGCCUAGUGGCAGUAUCAUAGCCAAUGAGGUUUACCUGAGGCACGAUUAUUGCUAAUUGAAAACUUUAGUUGCCAUAUAAUUAUUUUAUAACUCCUUCCCCAUGG